rnacentral:lncRNA from 1 species
UAAAACGUACGACAAAGAUACUUUGAGGGUCGAAAGGUACGUUUUUAAACUUCGAGGCUGCAUUGGAACUUCCACCCAUACUUCGAGGGUUAAAAGGUCAUUAAGCCUACUUUUUAUGCAUAGCUAAAUCAUAAACCGUGGAUAUUGUCAAGAUUUCAUGGCCGCUGGUUUACUUCCCUGAUGUCUGCCUGGCUACUCUGCAAGAUCAGCAUGCCUGUUGAAUAAAAAGAUGAUAAUAUUUUAGGAAAACUAAUAAAAGCAAAUAAAGAUGCCUCCUUGUCCAGACUGGCAAAAACAUGUCUUCGAAUUCAAAUCUUUUAAGGCAUCAUGGCAAAGUUACAUAUCCUGGAAUUCAAAUCUUUGAAGCCACUAACCAAAUGAGUUUCAAGAUGGAAGUUAUUUUCAACUUCCUAUUAUAUCUCAAAUUCUACUUGCUGCUCAUACCCCUCAUAACUAAUAUUUACUUAAUUGGCUAAAACUUGUGACAUGACCGCAAUUUUUUUUCCAUUUAAAUCUUAACAAAAACUAACUUGCCUUGGCCAACAGCUUUAAUUUCAUGUCCUGACACUACUCAUCUACUAACAACUUAAUAAAUGGUUGGUGAGAAUCUGAACACCCAUUAAAUUAUACUCCCUCCAUCCCAUUUUAAGUGUCCACUUUGCAAAUUUCACACAUCUUAAGAAACAAUUAAUGUAAUGCUUUUAUUAUUAUCUUCACACACCUAUUCACCUUGGUUUUUAUAAAUAUUAAUUACGUAUAGCACCACUCCUAGUGUGUAUUUGACCUUUCUUCAUAUUGGAAUUAGCUGGUUGUAUUUAAUACUAUAUUGAAACUAGUGAAAAAUUGCAUGGGUUAAAGAGUAUGACACAUAUUUUGGGAAUUUUUUUUUUGGCAAAGUGGACACUUAAAAUGGGAUGGAGGGAGUAUAUUUUUAUAUAAGAAUGUACAAACUUUAUUGUAUUCCGACCCGCUCUGAAACCUAAAUACAUAACCUACAAAGAAAAUAUUUAUGUACUUGAAAGAGGACUCGAUUGGUAUGAUAGGAAGAAUGAGUAUAUGCAUAUGUAGAAGAAGAGCUAAGUUAUAUUGGUGUUUUAAUGCCCGAGGAACCUGUAAAACACACAAUGCACGUCCAAGAAACAAUAAUAUGGCAAGUACAUUACCUGCCUAUACAGAGGAUGUCAA